UAACCUAAUUUAUUCGAUUACAAUUCAAAUCCUAUACAACAUCAGUCUUCAUAUCUUCAAUUGUAUUUUUCAAUCUUCAAAAUUUCUUCGAUUAAACUCCAAAACCCUAUCUGUUCUUGAAUAAUCUCAUUUCUUUGCUUCUGGAAAUUUAUUCAAUUAAAUCGUUACCGGUGAAGAAUAAUAUCAACAUCGAUUUUUUCUUCCGCUGCUGAAGGAGCUACUUCUGGGUUUUCAGAGUCUACAGAAGGUAGUACAGAAAUUCAUAUGAUUAAAUAUUGAAAUUUUGAGACUUCUGGAUUCUAUCCUGUGAGGAGGCCAAAAUCAUCCAUUCCUCAUAAUGUGUAUGAUCACACCAUUCUGGUAAUAUCCAUAACUCCUGCUGUUUUGAAUUCUAGUAGUAAAAACAAUUGAAAGAAACUCGGAUUAGGUCUUGCAAUUGCUGGUCCAGGCUUGUUUUGCAUAGUACUAGUUGUAUUUGGUUUUAUCUUUGUUAAGAAAUUUAAAGAAUAGAGACCAGUUAAGAGUUUAAAGAUGGAAAUUUUCAAUGGUAAUAGAUAAUUUCGUUACAGCAAACUUCAGCAUGUUAUUAAAAGGUUUCAUUCGAGUCGAAUCGUUGGUCGUGGAGCAUUUGGAACUAUUUACUAAGCAGCUUUUCCUGAAUUAGGAAUGACUUCUGCAGUGAAAAUUCCUAGCAGAACAUUCUGUCUGAGACAUAAGAAUCUGGUUCAGCUUCAAAGAUGGUGUACUGAUAAGGGUGAAUUACUUCUUGUUUAUGGUUUUAUGUAAAUUGGUAGUACUCAUAGUCUUCGUUUAGAACCCAUUGCUCAGUUACAAAAUAUUGUCAAGAAGAAUCAAACACUAAUGAGAAAGAUAGCUCUUAAUUAUGUGGUUCAUUGCUGAAGAAAAGAAUGCAAACCAGGAAGAGAUUUCUUCAAAAGAUUCAUCAGAAGAGGAGGUAUGUCAAGUUCAUUUCUUCAAGUGCAAGAUGCAUUCUCAGUGGGUAGCCAUGAAUUACAACAACUAGUUGCAUGUGUACUUACUUCGCAGGGGUAGUUACUGAAGCAAUUGUAGACCAAAAUUUACUGCAACAACAACAUUGUCAACUGAUUCCACAAUAGCAGCAACAUCAUCAUCAAUUCAACAGCAAUAACAAAUUCCGGGUAAUAUCAACAUGCAUAUGGGUAAUAACUUUUUAAUAACAAUUUUUCCCAUUUGUUCAUUGUUACUUCUUUUUUAUAUGAGUUUAGCAUUUGAAGUAAUAAUUUUCCAUACCUAACUGGUCCUAAAAACAUUUUUCAAUAACCGGUUAUAUGACUUGUUACUUAAAAAGAAGUCAUAUCAAUACCUUUACAGAUCUGGUCUUACAAACACCAGUUUCUAAAUAUCAUUUUUUUUUGAGUCUCUUAACCAACAGAGAACACCAACAACAUUUUUGAGUCUCUUAACCAACAGAGAACACCAAAACAAUUACCGGAAGCUACUAUUUCUGCUGUUAUUCAACUUAUGUUGCUGUUAUUACUCAUUGUCCUGCUACUUCAAUAUUUUCUGGGGCAAUCUCUUCUCCUACUAUUUUUUGAUUGAAUUAUGCUAUCAAAAUUACUACUUCUGCAGCUAGUGCUCGUUUAUCGUUCCUGCAACUCAUGUUUAAUCUGUCUAUCCAACUGGUGCUACUUCUACUUUUUUCGGUUUGGGGUUCCAUGUCCUGUUGACUCUGGAUAUCUACUUCUUCAGAUGUCUGUUCUUUUCUGUUGUACAUGGUGAUUGGUGAGUGUGGUGCAUUUAAUAUGUUACACUUCACUGUUGCUAAGAUCACUUGAAGACUUUAGAAUUUUGUAUCACUUUUGCUUCUGCUCCUGACAAGACUCAUUAUGCUUCUAGAGAUGUUUCUGCUACUGCUGAUGUGCUUGCUGCCGCAGUGUGCAUUCGUUUUUCUUAUAUUUUCUCUCUUAUUGUGUUUCUGAUAGUUAAGGGAGUGAUUUUUCUUUUGUUUUUCUUGCACCAAACUGACAUUGUGAGGUGUGUUGUCAGUUUGAGGGAGUGAUUUGUUUUUCCUUUUUUUCUUUCUUUGAUCUCUUCAAACUGUUUCAGCGUCUGCCUGUAACGUUUGAGGGGGGUGUAUUAGGAAUAUAUGUCAAGGUCAUGUCCUGUUGACUUGACCAAGUCUAUGUGUACCAGGAUAGGGUAUAAAUACCCUUGUAUUGUAUUGUAUUGUGAAAGACACGAAAUAUAAUUCUGUAAUACCAAUUUACAUAUCUAAUAACAAUUCAUUGGUAUCUCA